UUCUUACUUUCUCUCUCUACCUUCGAUCUCUCUAAAGGCGUUGAAGGCGAUUUCAACGUUCGACAUCGCUCUUCGAUUUUGCUCUUCGAUUUCUUUGAUUUUCUUCUUUGAUUUCGCAACUUCUUCGUUGUUCUUCUGCGAUUUUCCUUUUUUUUUUGCUGUGAUUCAAACAUUCUUGAGAGAUUGACCAAGUCAGACUUCUGAGGGCCAGUGAAUAUUGAAAGUGAUGAGAUGGUUAGCUUGAAUGAGAUGGUUGAGAUAGUUUUGAGCUUUGAGGAUAGGAAACUUCCAAUCCAGCAUAUUCCUGGCCCAGAGGGUGUCCGUGGUUGUAACUUUGAUAACACUCUAAUUAAAGAAAAGCUUGGCUGGUCUCCAACCAUGAGGUUAAAGAUAAAUUUCAUGACUUUCACUCAGAAGCUUAUCAUUGUGAUUGGUUAUUUUGGAAUUCUACGUACCGCUGAUGGCAAGGAGUGAUGCAAUAUUUUUGUGAGCAGAGAAGCCGUCAACUGUUUUAGAUCGUAUAUGGGCUUCGCCUUUGCUUUAUAGAUAGUCAUAUGCCUUUUCUGCUAUGCCUAGAAGUGAUUUUAGUAACUGUUUUUUAUAAAGUGUUCAUCUUGACAGAAAUAUGGCAUAUUAAUGCAGCAACAAUACUCUGUAUUAUGCUCAUCAUAAGUUGGGUAGCAUUACUGAUAAGAGUGUAAAACCAAUAUCAAGAGUGUUGUAGAAGAGCAUUUAAAAAAAUAGUUGUUUACAACAAUGUAGCUACUUUUAUGCGUUAAGUGUCCCAUACCAUGAUCAUCAAACUAUAUAUCUAAGAAAAUAUGAGGAGUUUUAAAGAUUGCAUUUGUAGCCUUGUCUUACAUUUUAUAGAUUGGUUUAUCUACUUCAAUUUUUUUUUUUUUAACUUUUAUGUAAUAUUGAUUAAUUACAAAUGUUGAAUAUACUAGCUCAAUUUUUUGA